GCCGGAUAGAUCCUAUAAACCCUCUGUAGUUAUUGUUAUCCUUUCUUGCUCCCUCAGUUCCAAGUGAAACUUCUGCACAGCCUCGUCAAUUUCCAAUAACUAAUCCUUUAAAGGCUUCAAAGGUUAUACCCCAAACAUUGAACUUCUGGGUUUCUUUUGGUUUUGAUUCAAUCCAACGGUAGUGAUUGGACCUUGAAAAUAUGAAAGUAAUAAACUUUUCUGGUAGCAUAGCAAAACCCAGUUUUUUGAUUGGCCAAUCGGAAAUGCCUAUUCUAACAUUUGGUCAUUGUAAGCUGAGUGCUACCCUUGCUCUACGGUUAUCACGAGAUUGCAUUAGAAGAAUGGAGUUGAUUACGAAACUUCAGUAUUCUGUUGCUGAUAGGACAUUUAGUUCUGGUUCGGUGUAUUCGCCGACGCCUGAAUCGGAGUCCGGUAGAAUGAAUCGUCGCCGGGGAGGUUCCUCAUCGAUAUAUAGCCGUCCUAGUUUAUCAGAAAUGAAGAAAGAGAAGGCUGCACUAAGGGAAAAAGUUUAUGAGUUCUUGAAGACAAUUGGCAUUGUUCCUGAUGAGCUUGAUGGUCUUGAACUUCCUGUGACUGUUGAUGUUAUGAGGGAGCGCAUAGAUUUUCUUCAUAGUUUGGGGCUUACAAUUGAAGAUAUCAACAAUUAUCCACUUGUUCUUGGCUGCAGCGUCAAGAAGAACAUGAUUCCUGUGCUUGACUAUCUUGGUAAAUUGGGAGUGAGGAAAUCCUCCAUUACGUUGUUCUUGCAGAGAUACCCACAAGUUCUCCAUGCUAGUGUUGUUGUGGAUCUUAUGCCAGUGGUUAAUUAUCUUAAGGGGAUGGAUAUCAAGACUGAGGAUAUUCCUCGUGUUCUUGAGAGGUACCCUGAAGUGCUUGGCUUCAAACUUGAGGGAACCAUGAGCACAUCAGUUGCUUUUUUGAUUGGAAUUGGUGUAGGAAGAAGACAAAUUGGAGGUGUCUUAACUAAAUAUCCAGAGAUUUUGGGUAUGCGAGUUGGUAGAAUCAUUAAGCCUUUUGUGGAAUAUCUGGAAAGUUUGGGAAUUCGAAGGUUAGCCAUUGCUAGAUUGAUAGAGCAACGACCUUAUAUUCUUGGAUUUGGGCUGGAUGAGAAGGUGAAACCAAAUGUUAAAUCCCUUGAAGAUUUUAGUGUUAGACGAACAUCACUUCCUUCUAUAAUUGCUCAGUAUCCUGACAUCAUUGGAACUGACUUAAAUUCAAAGCUUUUCAAUCAGAGAAUUAUACUCAAUUCGGUGCUUGAAUUGGAUACAGAGGACUUUGCCCGAGUUGUUGAGAAGAUGCCACAGGUAGUUAGCCUCAUUAGGGGACCUAUGCUGAAGCAUGUUGAUUUUCUUAAGGAUUGUGGCUUUUCGUUGCCUCAGAUAAGGAAGAUGAUUGUUGCAUGUCCUCAAUUACUCGCUUUAAACAUUGACAUUAUGAAACUUAGCUUUGAUUACUUCCAAAUGAAGAUGAAAAGACCUUUGGAAGAUUUGGUUACAUUCCCUGCAUUCUUCACUUAUGCUUUGGAGUCAAGUAUAAAGCCUAGGCAUGUGAGGGUUGCCAAGAAAGGGUUAAAGUGUUCUUUGUCAUGGAUGCUUAAUUGUUCUGAUGAGAAGUUUGAGCAACGAAUGGACUAUGACACUAUUGACAUGGAAGAAAUGGAAAUGGAAAUGGAAUCAUCAUUUGACAUGGAUUCACUAACACAACCAAGGAGUGAUGAUGAGUCAGAUUUUGACUAUGAAGACAGUGACGAAGAUGAUGCGUAGAAUGAUUAAGUUACUCAAAUAACUAGGAUAAUUUUGCUUUUCUGUUGGAUGAUCUUUAUCUGAAAGUCACAAUGCUGAAAUAUUGGAAAGUUAACUGGGGAAUAAGAAACUGAGUGAUGGGAUGGAUCUUGCUACUUCAAAUGUCAUCAUUAGUCUAUGGUGUGUAUGAGAAUGUUAAGUGGUACAGCUUCACAUUGCCCUUUUACUUCGCUUGUUCUACAUAUGAAAU